rfam:Candidatus Magasanikbacteria bacterium RIFOXYC2_FTLL_42_28 rifoxyc2_full_scaffold_12, whole genome shotgun sequence.
UUUUUUGAGAGUUUGAUCCUGGCUCAGGAUGAACGCUGGCGGCGUGUUUAAGGCAUGCAAGUCGAGCGACGUGUUCCCGCAAGGGAAUUACGAGCGGCAAACGGGUGAGUAACACAUUGGUAACCUACCUUGAAGACAGGGAUAGCUCGCCGAAAGGCGGAUUAAUACCUGAUGGCAAUGCGGGGACGCAAGUCAUUCGCAUUUAAAGCCGCAAGGCGCUUCAAGAGGGGCCUAUGGCCUAUCAGCUAGUUGGCGGGGUAAAAGCCCACCAAGGCAACGACGGGUAGCAGGCGUGAGAGCGCGGUCUGCCUCACUGGGACUGAGAUACUGCCCAGACACCUACGGGUGGCUGCAGUCAAGAAUAUUCCACAAUGGGGGAAACCCUGAUGGAGCGACGCCGCGUGCAGGAUGAAGGCCUUCGGGUCGUAAACUGCUUUUGCAGGGGACGAAUUAUUGACGGUACCCUGAGAAUAAGAGGUUGCUAACUCUGUGCCAGCAGCAGCGGUAAUACAGAGACCUCAAGCGUUAUCCGGAUUUAUUGGGCGUAAAGCGUCUGUAGGUGGUUUGGCGGGUUAGGGGUUAAAUCUCGAUGCUUAACAUCGAGCCAGCUCUUAAAACUACCAAACUAGAGGAUGGGAGAGGUAAGCGGAAUUGCCGGUGUAGUCGUAAUAAGCGUUGAUAUCGGCAAGAACACCAAAUGCGAAGGCAGCUUACUGGAACAUUCCUGACACUGAGAGACUAAAGCGUGGGGAGCAAACAGGAUUAGAUACCCUGGUAGUCCACGCCCUCAACGAUGCGAACUAGGUAUUGGCAGUAUCGACCCUGCCAGUGCCGUUUAAAAAAGCUAACGCGUUAAGUUCGCCGCCUGGGAAGUACGGUCGCAAGACUAAAACUCAAAGGAAUAGACGGGGACCCGCACAAGCGGUGGAUCAUGUGGUUUAAUUCGAUGGUAAACGGGGAACCUUACCUGGGCUCAACUACUAGCUGCAAGCCGAUGGAAACAUUGGCCGCCUUCGAGGGUGCUAGAUAGGUGCUGCAUGGUUGCCGUCAGCUCGUGCCGUGAGGUGUUCCAUUAAGUUGGGAAACGAGCGCAACCCACGUCGUGUGUUAAAUGUACACACGAGACCGCCCGGCUCUCUGCGCAUAAGCGCAGAAAUUCUAAAUCCGAAACACUAAAUCCUAAAUCGCCAAUUGGCAUUUAGAGUUUAGAACUUAGAUUUUAGAGUUUCUGUUCGCUUGCGAACAGGGAGCCGGGAGGAAGGAGUGGACGACGUCAAAUCAGCAUGGCUCUUACGUCCAGGGCUACACACAUGAUACAAUGGCCGAUACAACGGGCUGCUAAAUCGCGAGAUGGAGCUAAUCCCUUAAAAUCGGCCCCAGUUCAGAUUGAAGGCUGCAACUCGCCUUCAUGAAGUCGGAAUCGCUAGUAAACGCGCAUCAGCCACGGCGCGUUGAAUACGUUCUCGGGUCUUGUACUCACCGCCCGUCACACCAUGGAAGUUGGCAAUGCCCAAAAUCUCGCAAGGGACUAAGGCAGGGUCAAUGACUGGGGUGAAGUCGUAACAAGGCAUGUGUAGCGGAAGCUGCGCAUGGAUCACCUCCUUU